rnacentral:sRNA from 20 species
CCCGCCAAGCCUCUCGAUGAAGCUUAAAUCGGCGGGU